rnacentral:rRNA from 1 species
GACAGAGGGUGCAAACGUUUGUUCGGAAUUACUGGGCGUAAAGCGAGUGUAGGCGGUUUCCUAAGUCGGAUGUGAAAGCCCCGGGCUCAACCCGGGAAGUGCAUUCGAAACUGGGAGGCUAGAGUGUCGGAGAGGUUGGUGGAAUUCUCGGUGUAGAGGUGAAAUUCGUAGAUAUCGAGAGGAAUACCAGUGGCGAAGGCGCUGACCUGGACGAAGAUUGACGUGAGGUGCGAAAAGCGUGGGGGAGCAAACAGG